GGCGGGGCUCAAGUCCUUGCAGAACCUAGAGAAACAGAAGAAGACCAGGAAGAUCUGGGACCACAGUGAGACCAGCAGCGUCCAGUCUUCCCAGUCCACAGAGGGCGAUGACAUCUCCAUCCGAAGCCAAGCCUCCUCGUGUGCCACAGAAGAUGCCUCCGAAGACGCCAUGUCUGUCCGCUCCGAGAUGAUCCAGAGAAAAGGCUCCACUUUCCGACCACACGACUCCUUUCUGAAACCACCCGGGAAGGGAGAAAAGAGGCGGAGGGAGAGGAGGACCACUGUCCUGGGGCUGCCCCAACACGUGCAGCAGGAGCUGGGUAAGCGGCUGGCCUUGCACAAACCGGGUGG
rnacentral:lncRNA from 1 species